UAACGCGUGAGGAACCUGCCUCAAAGAGGGGGACAACAGUUGGAAACGACUGCUAAUACCGCAUAAGCCCACGGUGCCGCAUGGCACAGAGGGAAAAGGAGCAAUCCGCUUUGAGGUGGCCUCGCGUCCGAUUAGCUAGUUGGUGAGGUAACGGCCCACCAAGGCAACGAUCGGUAGCCGGACUGAGAGGUUGAACGGCCACAUUGGGACUGAGACACGGCCCAGACUCCUACGGGAGGCAGCAGUGGGGAAUAUUGCACAAUGGGGGAAACCCUGAUGCAGCGACGCCGCGUGGAGGAAGAAGGUCUUCGGAUUGUAAACUCCUGUUGUUGGGGAAGAUAAUGACGGUACCCAACAAGGAAGUGACGGCUAACUACGUGCCAGCAGCCGCGGUAAAACGUAGGUCACAAGCGUUGUCCGGAAUUACUGGGUGUAAAGGGAGCGCAGGCGGGAAGACAAGUUGGAAGUGAAAUCUAUGGGCUCAACCCAUAAACUGCUUUCAAAACUGUUUUUCUUGAGUAGUGCAGAGGUAGGCGGAAUUCCUGGUGUAGCGGUGGAAUGCGUAGAUAUCGGGAGGAAUACCAGUGGCGAAGGCGGCCUACUGGGCACCAACUGACGCUGAGGCUCGAAAGUGUGGGUAGCAAACAGGAUUAGAUACCCUGGUAGUCCACACCGUAAACGAUGAUUACUAGGUGU
rnacentral:rRNA from 1 species